UGUUUGUUAAGCAGUAUUGGAUGGGACUGGACGGGCUUAUCUAUUAUAACAGGAGUUAUCCCAUGUUUGGCAACAACAGGGAUUCGAUUAAAUGAGAUUAUGCAGUCCGCAAGACACUCCCAACACCUUCUUACACAGCGACCUCAAAAUUCACCGGACUGUGGAAGCAAGUCUUCUACAGUGCUGAAAUCUCAUUCUUAGUCGCUCUUGACUUGAGCCUCAUCGUUCUCACUCACUUGCUUCUUUCGUCUCAGUCUCAUUCGACUGCUCUUUUUCAGGAAUCCGCCAUAGAACAAAUUGCCUUGUUCUGCUGAAAGUAAAGUUCCUCCACUUAGAAGCAGGACUUUCUGGAAGGCUUGGCUAACAAAAACAAAUGAGAUUACCACUUGUGUUCUGUCAAUUUUAGUUUACUGGCUUGUUUAUUUUGUUGUGUUUGUCAAAUGUAGUCUAACAUUCACUACACAUCUAUUCUAAAUUCAACUGAAAAUCCUUAAUUUUCUUUUAAAUAUAUUGAGAAUAAUUCAACAUGAUAUUUUAAAUAUAUGUGUGAAGGUACUCAGAUAUGCCUGGUUUAUGAACAAAGGAGUGAGUUGAAGCAUAGGAAAUUUGAAACCCAUUGCUGAUGCUUUUUUCCUAUCAGAUUUGGCAUGCAGGAAGAGUUUCAAAGAAAGAAGAAAGAGUCUCAAAGAGUGGUAAUACACCUUCAUGAAUUCUCUUCCAUCAUAAAAAGACCUGUAACCAUAAUUGAAAAGUUAGACCAUAGAAGCAUCAGGAAUUAGAUGUAAACUUGUUAAUACAACGUGAGGCACUUGACUAUCUGUAGAGUGAAAUAUACAGAGCAAGUGCAUGUAGAGUGAAAUAUGCAUCAUAAGAUGUAAACCGUUCUGUAUGAUGGUAUUGCUGUUCAAUAUGAAAUAAAGAUUAUGUGAGGCGCUUGACUA